rnacentral:tRNA from 1 species
CGGGGCGUGGCGCAGUCUGGUCAGCGCGGCUGCUUUGGGAGCAGCAGGCCGGAGGUUCAAAUCCUCUCGCCCCGACCA